rnacentral:piRNA from 1 species
GAUGCAGUCUGUGGUUCUGAGACUU